rnacentral:tRNA from 1 species
GCCCGGGUGGUGGAAUUGGUAGACACAAGGGACUUAAAAUCCCUCGGCCUUUUGGCUGUGCGGGUUCAAGUCCCGCCCCGGGUACCA